rnacentral:rRNA from 1 species
UCCGGUUGAUCCUGCCGGACCCGACUGCUAUUUGGGUGAGGAUAAGCCAUGCGAGUUGAAUGGGAUACCUAAAGUUCCCAUGGCAAACUGCUCAGUAACACAUGAUCAACUUGCCCUAUAGAGAAAAAUAACCUCGGGAAACUGAGGAUAAUGAUUCAUAGCUGAAUUGGCUUGGAAAAGUUUUUCAGUUAAAGGGAUAAAAAAAAUGGUUUUUAUCUGCUAUAGGAUAGGAUCGUGGUCGAUUAUGGUUGUUGGUGAGGUAAUGGCUCACCAAGCCGAUAAUCGAUAGGGGCCGUGAGAGCGGGAGCCCCGAGAUGGGUACUGAGACAACGACCCAGGCCUUACGAGGCGCAGCAGGCGCGAAACCUCCGCAAUACACGAAAGUGUGACGGGGUUACCCAAAGUGUUCAAUUUUGAACUGUGGUAGGUGAGUAAUGUUCCCUACUAGAAAGGAGAGGGCAAGGCUGGUGCCAGCCGCCGCGGUAAAACCAGCUCUUCGAGUGGUCGGGAUAAUUAUUGGGCUUAAAGUGUCCGUAGCCGGUUUAGUAAGUUCCUGGUAAAAUCGGGUAGCUUAACUAUCUAUAUGCUAGGAAUACUACUAUACUAGAGGGCGGGAGAGGUCUGAGGUACUACAGGGGUAGGGGUGAAAUCUUAUAAUCCUUGUAGGACCACCAGUGGCGAAGGCGUCAGACUGGAACGCGCCUGACGGUGAGGGACGAAAGCCAGGGGAGCGAACCGGAUUAGAUACCCGGGUAGUCC